GACGGGGGAUGCGAGCGUUAUCCGGAAUGAUUGGGCGUAAAGGGUCCGCAGGUGGCCCGGUCAGUCCGCUGUCAAAGCCUGGGGCUCAACCCUGGAGAGGCGGCGGAGACCACCGGGCUUGAGUCCGGUAGGGGCAGAGGGAAUUCCCGGUGGAGCGGUGAAAUGCGUAGAGAUUGGAAAGAACACCGAUGGCGAAGGCACUUUACUGGGCUAUUACUAACACUCAGAGACGAAAGCUAGGGUAGCAAAUGGG
rnacentral:rRNA from 1 species